AAUGGGACCUGGACAUUGUGGCCUUGUCAGCGGGGGCCUGAUCAGUGGGACCUGGACAUUGUGGCCUGGCCCAGGCCCAGGGGAUGCCCAAUGCUGGGAGGAGGCUCAGACAGCAGGAGGGAGAGAAGGAAGGAAGGAACUUCCAUAGUACCCAUGCCUACGAAAUUACAACGUGUGGUGCUGUUUCUACUCCAUCGCCAUGUUCGCUCUUUAUUUCGUAUGUAAUUCUCUACUCAACUGGCCUCAGUUGAGCACAAAACCAUCCUUGUACCACCACGAAUAGUUGGCCAUGGCUCUUUGAUAGCAGUUUUUAUUCUGCCGUAGAAAUUAUCCUUGAACCGGAAAAAAAAAUCCCCAAUUCAAUACUCCAUC
rnacentral:lncRNA from 1 species